UACGGGGGGGGCAAGCGUUGUUCGGAAUUACUGGGCGUAAAGGGCUCGUAGGCGGCCAACUAAGUCAUACGUGAAAUCCCUCGGCUUAACCGGGGAACUGCGUCUGAUACUGGAUGGCUUGAGUUCGGGAGAGGGAUGCGGAAUUCCAGGUGUAGCGGUGAAAUGCGUAGAUAUCUGGAGGAACACCGGUGGCGAAGGCGGCAUCCUGGACCGAUACUGACGCUGAGGAGCGAAAGCCAGGGGGGCAAACGGG
rnacentral:rRNA from 1 species